rnacentral:rRNA from 1 species
UACAGAGGUCUCAAGCGUUGUUCGGAUUCAUUGGGCGUAAAGGGUGCGUAGGCGGUGAAGUAAGUCGGGUGUGAAAUACCGGGGCUCAACCCCGGAACUGCACUCGAUACUGCUUUGCUCGAGGACUGGAGAGGAGACCGGAAUUCACGGUGUAGCAGUGAUAUGCGUAGAUAUCGUGAGGAAGGCCGGUGGCGAAGGCGGGUCUCUGGACAGAUCCUGACGCUGAGGCACGAAGGCUAGGGGAGCGAACGGG